GAUGACGCUGGCGGCGUGCCUAAUACAUGCAAGUCGAACGAGUUCUCGUUGAUGAUCGGUGCUUGCACCGAGAUUCAACAUGGAACGAGUGGCGGACGGGUGAGUAACACGUGGGUAACCUGCCCUUAAGUGGGGGAUAACAUUUGGAAACAGAUGCUAAUACCGCAUAGAUCCAAGAACCGCAUGGUUCUUGGCUGAAAGAUGGCGUAAGCUAUCGCUUUUGGAUGGACCCGCGGCGUAUUAGCUAGUUGGUGAGGUAAUGGCUCACCAAGGCGAUGAUACGUAGCCGAACUGAGAGGUUGAUCGGCCACAUUGGGACUGAGACACGGCCCAAACUCCUACGGGAGGCAGCAGUAGGGAAUCUUCCACAAUGGACGCAAGUCUGAUGGAGCAACGCCGCGUGAGUGAAGAAGGCUUUCGGGUCGUAAAACUCUGUUGUUGGAGAAGAAUGGUCGGCAGAGUAACUGUUGUCGGCGUGACGGUAUCCAACCAGAAAGCCACGGCUAACUACGUGCCAGCAGCCGCGGUAAUACGUAGGUGGCAAGCGUUAUCCGGAUUUAUUGGGCGUAAAGCGAGCGCAGGCGGUUUUUUAAGUCUGAUGUGAAAGCCCUCGGCUUAACCGAGGAAGCGCAUCGGAAACUGGGAAACUUGAGUGCAGAAGAGGACAGUGGAACUCCAUGUGUAGCGGUGAAAUGCGUAGAUAUAUGGAAGAACACCAGUGGCGAAGGCGGCUGUCUGGUCUGUAACUGACGCUGAGGCUCGAAAGCAUGGGUAGCGAACAGGAUUAGAUACCCUGGUAGUCCAUGCCGUAAACGAUGAAUGCUAGGUGUUGGAGGGUUUCCGCCCUUCAGUGCCGCAGCUAACGCAUUAAGCAUUCCGCCUGGGGAGUACGACCGCAAGGUUGAAACUCAAAGGAAUUGACGGGGGCCCGCACAAGCGGUGGAGCAUGUGGUUUAAUUCGAAGCAACGCGAAGAACCUUACCAGGUCUUGACAUCUUUUGAUCACCUGAGAGAUCAGGUUUCCCCUUCGGGGGCAAAAUGACAGGUGGUGCAUGGUUGUCGUCAGCUCGUGUCGUGAGAUGUUGGGUUAAGUCCCGCAACGAGCGCAACCCUUAUGACUAGUUGCCAGCAUUUAGUUGGGCACUCUAGUAAGACUGCCGGUGACAAACCGGAGGAAGGUGGGGAUGACGUCAAAUCAUCAUGCCCCUUAUGACCUGGGCUACACACGUGCUACAAUGGAUGGUACAACGAGUUGCGAGACCGCGAGGUCAAGCUAAUCUCUUAAAGCCAUUCUCAGUUCGGACUGUAGGCUGCAACUCGCCUACACGAAGUCGGAAUCGCUAGUAAUCGCGGAUCAGCACGCCGCGGUGAAUACGUUCCCGGGCCUUGUACACACCGCCCGUCACACCAUGAGAGUUUGUAACACCCGAAGCCGGUGGCGUAACCCUUUUAGGGAGCGAGCCGUCUAAGGUGGGACAAAUGAUUAGGGUG
rnacentral:rRNA from 2 species